UACAGAGGGUGCGAGCGUUAAUCGGAAUUACUGGGCGUAAAGCGUGCGCAGGCGGUUGUGCAAGACAGAUGUGAAAUCCCCGGGCUCAACCUGGGAAUUGCAUUUGUGACUGCACGGCUAGAGUGUGUCAGAGGGGGGUAGAAUUCCACGUGUAGCAGUGAAAUGCGUAGAGAUGUGGAGGAAUACCGAUGGCGAAGGCAGCCCCCUGGGAUAACACUGACGCUCAUGCACGAAAAGCGUGGGGGAGCAAACAGG
rnacentral:rRNA from 1 species